rnacentral:rRNA from 1 species
AACGAACGCUGGCGGCAGGCCUAACACAUGCAAGUCGAGCGAGGACUUCGGUCCUAGCGGCGGACGGGUGAGUAACGCGUGGGAACGUGCCCUUUGCUUCGGAAUAGCCCUGGGAAACUGGGAGUAAUACCGGAUGAGCCCUUUGGGGGAAAGAUUUAUCGGCGAAGGAUCGGCCCGCGUUGGAUUAGGUAGUUGGUGGGGUAAUGGCCUACCAAGCCGACGAUCCAUAGCUGGUUUGAGAGGAUGAUCAGCCACACUGGGACUGAGACACGGCCCAGACUCCUACGGGAGGCAGCAGUGGGGAAUCUUAGACAAUGGGGGAAACCCUGAUCUAGCCAUGCCGCGUGAGCGAUGAAGGCCUUAGGGUGGUAAAGCUCUUUCAGCUGGGAAGAUAAUGACGGUACCAGCAGAAGAAGCCCCGGCUAACUCCGU